UCCGUAAGGAUAAUGGUAGGAGAGCGUUCUAAACGUGUCGAAGCAUGAUCGUAAGGACAUGUGGAAUGUUUAGAAGUGAGAAUGCCGGUGUGAGUAGCGAAAGAUGGGUGAGAAUCCCAUCCACCGAUUGACUAAGGUUUCCAGAGGAAGGCUCGUCCGCUCUGGGUUAGUCGGGACCUAAGCCGAGGCCGAUAGGCGUAGGCGAUGGAUAACAGGUAGAUAUUCCUGUACCACCUAUGAUUGUUUGAACGAUGGGGGGACGCAGUAGGAUAGGCGAAGCGUGCUGUUGGAGUGCACGUCCAAGCAAUAAGACUGAGUGUUAGGCAAAUCCGGCACUCGUAAGGUUGAGUUGUGAUGGGGAGUUGGAUCAUGUAUCCGACGAGUCGUUGAUUUCACACUGCCAAGAAAAGCCUCUAGUUAGAAAA
rnacentral:rRNA from 1 species